UACGAAGGGGGCUAGCGUUGUUCGGAAUUACUGGGCGUAAAGCGCGCGCAGGCGGUCUUCCAAGUCAGUGGUGAAAGCCUGGAGCUCAACUCCAGAACUGCCAUUGAAACUGUUAGACUUGAGUACGAGAGAGGUGAGUGGAAUUCCCAGUGUAGGAGGUGAAAAUUCGUAGAUAUUGGGAAGAACACCGGUGGCGAAGGCGGCUCACUGGCUCGUAACUGACGCUCAGGCGCGACAGCGUGGGGAUCAAACAGG
rnacentral:rRNA from 1 species